UACGGGGGGAGCAAGCGUUGUUCGGAUUUACUGGGCGUAAAGGGCGCGUAGGCGGCCAGCGCAAGUCAGUUGUGAAAUCUCCGGGCUUAACUCGGAAAGGUCAACUGAUACUGCGCGGCUAGAGUGCAGAAGGGGCAACUGGAAUUCUCGGUGUAGCGGUGAAAUGCGUAGAUAUCUGGAGGAAUACCGGUGGCGAAGGCGGCAUCCUGGACCGACAUUGACGCUGAGGAGCGAAAGCUAGGGGAGCAAACGGG
rnacentral:rRNA from 1 species